GGAAAAAAACUUUUCGGGUAUUGAGAGCGGCGUACGGGUGCGGAACACGUGUGCAACCUGCCUUUAUCAGGGGGAUAGCCUUUCGAAAGGAAGAUUAAUACCCCAUAAUAUAUUAUUCGGCAUCGGGUGAUAUUGAAAACUACGGUGGAUAGAGAUGGGCACGCGCAAGAUUAGCUAGUUGGUGAGGUAACGGCUCACCAAGGCGACGAUCUUUAGGGGGCCUGAGAGGGUGAUCCCCCACACUGGUACUGAGACACGGACCAGACUCCUACGGGAGGCAGCAGUGAGGAAUAUUGGACAAUGGGUGGAAGCCUGAUCCAGCCAUCCCGCGUGCAGGAAGACGGCCCUAUGGGUUGUAAACUGCUUUUAUCUGGGGAUAAACCUACUUACGUGUAAGUAGCUGAAGGUACCAGAAGAAUAAGCACCGGCUAACUCCGUGCCAGCAGCCGCGGUAAUACGGAGGGUGCAAGCGUUAUCCGGAUUUAUUGGGUUUAAAGGGUCCGUAGGCGGACUGAUAAGUCAGUGGUGAAAUCCGACAGCUUAACUGUCGAACUGCCAUUGAUACUGUUAGUCUUGAGUAAGGUUGAAGUGGCUGGAAUAAGUAGUGUAGCGGUGAAAUGCAUAGAUAUUACUUAGAACACCAAUUGCGGAAGGCAGGUCACUAAGUCUUAACUGACGCUGAUGGACGAAGGCGUGGGGGAGGCGAAACAGGAUUAGAUACCCUGGGUAGUCCACCGCCGUAACGAUGAUUUACUCGUUUUUGGGUUUUUAAUGAUUCACAAACUAAGCCGAAGUGGAUGAGUUAUCCCACCUGGGGAAGUUACGUUUCGGCAGAGAAUUGAAAAC
rnacentral:rRNA from 1 species